GUGUUUGAAAAGGAGAGUCGUGGGGCUUGUGAGAUAGAGAUCUCGGUGAACCUGGAUGGCCCCUGGUCAUUUUCAGUCUGAGUACCUAAACUGGACUGGGGCAUAAGGCUCCAGGAGCAUGAGAACUGAUCCACGGAAGGGCCAGUUUAACUCCUGAAUGUGCUGCUUCUGAGCACAUUCUGGGGCGAAAUGGACACGCCCCGUGCUGCUUGCAGACAGUUCCCAUAGCUGUCCAGGGCCCUGGAGUGUGCACCCAAGGGCAGAUUCUGCCCUUACUCACGCUCUGCUUCGGUGUCUUGGGAGUUGUGCAGUGACUCUGGCACAGGAAAGGGAUGAAGAGCAAGGCAGUAGCUGACUAGCCAGGCUGUACAGGCUUCCUAAAGCAAUUCUCUUUGUAAUGCUUCAGUGAUUGUAGGGCCAGGACUGCAGCCUCCAAAGAGCAAGCUGUAGGUGCUGGGCUUGUUUCAACAAUAACCAUGGCAACAGCAACCCCUUAGGUGAAACCAGCCACCUGCGUUCUGAAUUCUAGAGCCAGUGAGUGUACUGACACUUUUUCUAUCUUCUCAAGCACUUUGCCCUUUCAGGGGGAAGUUAAUGUUUGAGCAAAGGGACCUGGCAGUUCAGACUAGUUUAAUAGUCUCAACAACACCACAGAGUUUCCGGCCGUCCCUUUCCUAUCUCAUGCACACUGGAGAGAAAUGGCUCCACUUUCCAGGAAAUGAACUCGGUGACUGAGGAGUCCCUUACAAUGCCCGACAAGAACCUGUAUCACUUCUUCCCAUCAUUACCACAAAUCUCUUUCUAGGUCUCUCUACCUCCCCCAUAAUUCCUUCUAAAUUAAUGGCAGAAAGCACCAGCUCUGGUUCAUGACAAUCUUCAUAUAAACUCCCUAGGAAAACAGAGUAGGCCCGAAGAACUGGCUCCAGCAUCUAACUGUGGCUUUGGGGAUAGGAGGGUCAGGGUUUGGGUUGUUCCGUGGGACUUACACAGGCAUAUUUGAGGACAGCGGCAUGCUGAGGAGAAAGUAAGGUUUGUUUUCCUUCCUCUGAGAUCUGGAGUACGUAUGCACAAUUGUAAUUUUCAAGGAAAGUCCUCAAGUUUCAGAUAUUCUACUAAGCACAACUAAGGGCACCACUGUCCAACCUCCUCUUUGAUAAACUACUUGAUCUUGCUUCAUAAAAGCCAGACCAUAAAGCACAGGAGCCCUGUGUAGGGUAGAAGUGGCCAGAGCCACCUGGCUGAGCUACUCAGCUGAUCAUAUCUUUCUUCCUUUACGGUGACCCACUUCCUGGUUGCUGAGAUGGCUUCGGAGCUGGCACGGUGCCCAGAGGCCUGAAACAAGGGACAGGUGACAGACACUAUUUCCUUAGAGUUCCCUUUCUGUCAUUCCCUCACGUGUACCCUAACCCUCAUGUCCAUAAAGCCAGAACCAGAGACCUAUCAUUACCAGAUUCUGACCUGUGGUCACAUUUAACUCGUCCAACUGUGUACUCAGCCCUUUGCUCACAGAAUUUAGUGUCUUUGGUAUUGAGUGCAAUGUUGGGCCAUGGGACAUCGCGAUGAAGUUGACAUCCUCAGUCCCCAAAGAGCAGGUACACUUGAAAGAGGUCUCACCCAUGAGUGGCAGUUAGGAAGGGAAACCAAGAGGGCAUGGACUUUGGCAGGAAGUGCUUCAUGUGUAAAUUCUAUCCUGAGACGGAGGGCAGUGGAGAAAGUUGCCAUCCCUACCAGUCAUGACGAGCCCCCGGACUUGGGCAGUGCUCUUUGUCUUCUUAUUGUAUUUGACUUCAGAGUCCCCGUCUGAGUGUGCAGUGUGUCUGUCAAAGGACCCAGGUUAUCUUUUUCCCUUCAUGCCUAGGACAAAGAACUUGGAACUCCCGAGAGAGCAUUUUGCUCCUACAAAUGAUCAGAUACUGAAGUCCCAAGUAAUAGAUCUUGUUCCACUGGCUCCUGGAUCGAGUUCUCUGCUCCUGCCUUUCCCCAUGCAGUUUGUGCAGUAAUGGCCCAGUGCCAAGAGGAAGUGUAUCACGCCCCCACCCCACCCAGACAUGCUUGUUCCCCUGAAAAUCACGUUUGUGUCAUCAUCAUCAUCAUCAUCAUCAUCACCAUCACCAUCACCAUCACCAUCACUUGUCUUUGUCUUUCAUUUGCCUUAUUUUCCUUCUAAGCAGCGCUCAAUUCCUAGUAGUCUCCCGAGCAGUUGGUAAAGAGUCUCGAAUGAGCCACUUCCUCAAAGCACUCGUGCCUGCCAGAGCUCCCGGAAUGUUCCGCUAGUGACUAGUGUCAUCCCGGAAAGCUGAAACAGGGUGACAACAACUCUGCCCCACGAAGCUCAGGUUCGUCUCCCCUCCCAGGUUGAGCACAUUUCAAAGUCCUGAGAGUUUAGCAGGCUGGGGCCUUGACUUUACUGUGGCUGUGGGGAGCGGUAAGUUGGUUUCUAGAAUUUCCAUAGUGCCACAUCCAGACACUUCUGAGUUCUUCUACCUCACAGGGACGGUGUGAGGCUAUAGAAGGCCUCGGGGUGAGGCCCCUUGGCUCUUCAUAAGAAGGAUGAACUAAAAUAAUAAUCCCAGUCUGCAAGCCGAUAAAAUACAGUUAGAAGUCUUUUGUGCAGCAGUUUACCCAGAUGCUCUCUGCCUUUUACGUGGAUCCUCGUGCCUUUCAGUAACUGCAGAACCCUGGAGGCAACCUGGGGCCAUUCGGAUGCUUAGUGUAGAGGUACCUGGCAAACCCCUGCUAUCCAUGCCCUGAACAAAUUGCUGAAUUUCCAAGGAAAUAUAUCCCCCUUUUUAAGGAUGUACAAAAGUGUGUCUACAUUGAUGUCUGUACUGUAAAUUUCUAAUUUAUCACUGUAUUAAAAAACUUGCUAUUUAAUUUUUGUAUUAAAGGAAAAUAAAGUUUUGUUUAUUG
rnacentral:lncRNA from 1 species